rnacentral:tRNA from 1 species
AUGGUCGUGGAUCGAAUUUCCCGCCCUCCGAAGGCAGGGGUUGCUGGUUCGAUCCCAGCCGGGCGCGCCA